UACGUAGGGUGCAAGCGUUAAUCGGAAUUACUGGGCGUAAAGCGUGCGCAGGCGGCUUUGCAAGACAGAUGUGAAAUCCCCGGGCUUAACCUGGGAACUGCAUUUGUGACUGCAUGGCUGGAGUGUGGCAGAGGGGGAUGGAAUUCCGCGUGUAGCAGUGAAAUGCGUAGAUAUCGUAAGGAAGACCAGUGGCGAAGGCGAGUCUCUGGACAGUUACUGACGCUGAGGCACGAAGGCCAGGGGAGCAAACGGG
rnacentral:rRNA from 1 species